rnacentral:rRNA from 1 species
CCCUUAGAUGUUCUGGGCUGCACGCGCGCUACACUGAUGCGCUCAACGAGUUUACGAACUUGCCCGGAAGGGUUGGUUAAUCUUUUUAAAACGCAUCGUGAUAGGGAUAGAUCAUUGCAAUUAUUGAUCUUGAACGAGGAAUUCCUAGUAAACGCGAGUCAUCAGCUCGCAUUGAUUACGUCCCUGCCCUUUGUACACACCGCCCGUCGCACCUACCGAUUGAAUGUUUCGGUGAAGAUUCCGGAUAGGACUUUUUUGAUUUAUUUCAAUUUUGUCUUAAAAGCUAUCUAAACCUCAACAUUUAGAGGAAGGUGAAGUCGUAACA